rnacentral:rRNA from 1 species
UACGUAGGGGGCAAGCGUUGUCCGGAUUUAUUGGGCGUAAAGAGCGUGUAGGCGGCCAGACAGGUCCGUUGUGAAAACUCGAGGCUCAACCUCGAGACGCCGAUGGAAACCGUCUGGCUAGAGUCCGGAAGAGGAGAGUGGAAUUCCUGGUGUAGCGGUGGAAUGCGCAGAUAUCAGGAAGAACACCCGUGGCUAAGGCGGCUCUCUAGUACGGUACUGACGCUGAGACGCGAAAGCGUGGGGAGCGAACAGG